AUGCACUCAGCGGAGAGGGAAAAAAAACAACAACAAAAAACACAAAAAGCAGCAAAAAACAACAACAAAAACACAGCACCAAAGAAAACAGCGCCUGGGCGAGGAGGCUCCCGCACUCCCAGCGCCCGGUUCCGCGGGGAUCUGCCACGAGCUGUCUGCAAAGGAGGGGACAAAAGCAAAAGGGGCUCCGACGCCCCGCCCCGCCCCGGCCCGGCGCCCAAUGGGAAGGCAGCGCCGGGCACUGAAUGGAGAAAGGGGGGAAACCUGCAGCGGCGGCGGCUCCGCGGGGACCUGCGCUCCCGGGACGGGCCACACGCGCGAGCCCACGCGCGGCUCCCUGUUCCUCCACGCACAGGCACACGGAUUACUACACACACACACUCCAGGACUUCCAUUGCACACGUUCGGACGUGUAUACACACACACACACACACACACAGAGGCACGCGGAGAGCAACUCAUAUUAUUAUUUACACUCACACACCCAUUCCUGUACACUCCCUUGCACAUGUUCGGAUGUGCACACACACACACACAAACACACACAUUCCAGUAAUCCUUUGCACACUUUUGGAUGUGUACACGCGCGCACAUACACAGAGGCACACGGAGGGAAGCUCAUAUUACUAUAUACACUCACACACAUUCCUGUACACUCCCCUGCACGUUUCCGGAUGUGCACACACACAUACACAUAUAGUCCAGUACACCCAUUGCACACUUAUGGACGUGUACGCACACACACACAGGCACACGGAGGGAAGCUCAUAUUACUAUUUACACUCACACAUUCUUGAACACCCCUUGCACAUGUUCGGACGUGUACACAAACGCACACACAGGCACACGGAGGGCAGCUCCUAUACACACACAUUCCAGUGCACCGACUGCAGACGCCUGGACGCGAAGACGCACAGAAACACACACACACACACACACACACACACACUCGGGCGUCGGAUGCACAGCCUCGCGGCCCCCCCCCAGCAGAUUUGCCUGGUGGCCCCUGUGGGCAGCCGCGUUGCCUCGGAGGACGCAGCCUUUUCCCACCAACCUCCACACGCAUUCCUGGACACACCCACGCAUGCUCCCCCGCAAAGACACACACACAGGUAUUUUCCCACACGCACAAAACCCUCGUCCUCUCCUGCAAGCUUGGCUAACUUGACCCCAACUACCUAGUGGGUCCUAGAAAAUAUACCACCCCAAGAAAACCCUGCUCCUCUCUUCAAAGACACUCGUGGUCCUUCUCCUACACACGCGCAUACACUUUUCCCUCUGCGCUGUGCCCACACUGACACACCACAGAGCCCUGUGUACCUCGAGAACUUUCACGCACAACUUGCAUCCACAGAGCCGUGUGUUGCCUGGACAACUUGCACCUACAAGUACUCAGCUCCCUCCCCGCCCCCCGCAGAGGGGGGGGCUGUCACAGCCCCAAGCCGCUCUUCUCACGAGCCGGGGAGCGGGACACGUUUGUAUGGGCGGGUGGGAGGAGGGUGACAGGCCCCCCUUCCUCCCCAGCACCACGCUUCUUCCAGCCAGCUGCCGGACCAAACGCCCCUGAAGAGGAGCCUUUCUUCCAUUUGACCAGCGUUUUAUUCAUCAGCCACCCAGGGCUUUCCUCUCCCAGUCUGCAAAGAAAGUGCCCGCUGCCUCUGCUUUUAUGAAGCCUGGCAGAUUGCUUUCGACUCGUCUUUUAACUGGCUGGCUCGGGUGCUCCUUACAGACGUGCUGGGGGAUGCGAUGCUUCACCAUUUCUCUGAUUUGGGAGGCGGGGGGAACAUACUUCGGUCUGCAAAAGAUUUCACAUAGUGGCCAAACAGGCGCGUGGACAUGGGGAAAAUGGGGUCCCAAACAGCUAAAGGGCACUACUGGCAGGACUUGAUUUCUGUUCAUGCCACCUCCUGUAUGCCUGUGAGAAACAGGAUCUGGGCUCUAAUGACCUGUUUAGAUGCACGUCUGAACAGGAAUAAAGCAAUGAGCUGAGGGGAAACA
rnacentral:lncRNA from 1 species